ensembl:lncRNA
AUGCUACUUUGGGAUUCUAAUGAAUUGGAAUGAAUUAAUUACACCAAGUUAUUGCAAUGGAUGGAUUUAACCUCUCAUGAUUAAUGGGGCACCUCUGAGGGCCACUUAUGAAGAAAAGUGAAGACUUCUUAAGUCUGCAGAAGGUUUGAAAUGAAAUAAACUGCAUACAAUCCAAGGAGUGGAAAUUCUGGAUGACAACUGUUCAUUACAUUUCUGUAUGCAGCAUUUAAAACAGUCAAGUGGUUGGAAAAUUGCUGAAAUUAAGAGUUUGCCUGGCUGUAAAUCUGGGUUUUACUAUUAUUUUCUAUAUAUAUAAGACAACUGCUCUUGUAGAAGUGGUUGCAUGAUGUACAGUAUAGGCCUACUGAUAAAUAAAUAAAUUUAUGAAUAAUUUAUUUUGUAAAGAAUAAAAAUGGUUGAAUCAGUUGUUCUUUCAUUGUCUAUGGUGGACGUCUGACAAACAUGCUCAAACUUCAGUGUGC